rnacentral:lncRNA from 12 species
CUGGGGGGAGAUGCCCUAACGGACCUCCCUGCUCCCCGGCCCUGGGGUCCAGGCCCAGGAGAGCCCGUGCAGGCGGACGCCCUGCCAGCCCUGAUGAGCCCCGGAGAGACAGGCCUGGGCCUGGAGCAGGGGCUGCAGCAGGACUCCAGCGCUUGGCACAAUGACCUACGUCUGUGUCGACACAUACUUCUGCAGAGCCGGCUCCGUGGGGGCGCUGACCCAGCGGGCCCAGGGGGAGGGCUCUGCAGCUGAGAAAUGGAAACCCACCAGGAAAAUCCACGAAGAGAGGAAGGGGAACCGGAGAAGCCCAGGAGGAGGAGGAGAUGCCUCCCCGGGGAACGCCCAGAUGACCAAGAGGUGCCCAGGCCUCUUAAUCCAACCCAAAAGGAAGCCACUUGUGGGCAGAUUUAUCUCCCGAGGUUUGUUUCCGGCCCUGAGUUUACCUGAGUUCGCCGGUGCACACGCAGGCGUGGCCGUCUGUCCUGACGGCGCUGCUGCCUCCUGGGUCUGAUGGAGUCCCGUCUACACCCGGAGCCCCCCUGCAGGACCCUCGUCACCGGGCCAGCCUCCCUGCUCCCGCUGGGGGAACCGGGGGGCGGCGAUGAAAGCUUUCCGCCUUUUUUUCCUGCCAAUGACCAAAUUCGAAUGUACAAUUUAAAAGCUACAUUGGCACUUUCCACCCCACUGCCUGCGAUGAUUGUGCCGAGAUUAUUAAACCCGUCAUAAAUAA